rnacentral:rRNA from 1 species
UACAUGGGGUGCAAACGUUGCUCGGAAUUAUUGGGCGUAAAGCGCACGUAGGCGGUCUACUAAGUCGGAUGUGAAAGCCCUCGGCUUAACCGAGGAAGUGCAUCCGAAACUGGCAGGCUAGAGUACAGAAGAGGGUCGCGGAAUUCCCGGUGUAGAGGUGAAAUUCGUAGAUAUCGGGAGGAACACCGGUGGCGAAGGCGGCCACCUGGACCGGUUCUGACGCUGAGGCGCGAAAGCGUGGGGAGCAAACA